GAAAUUGGUGAGCUUAUUGCCAAAGCUAUGGAAAAAGUUGGCAAAGAGGGUGCCAUUACCAUAUAUGUAAGUGACUUACAGUUUAUACAUGUCUAGUGGUAUAAGCUCUUAAAAGCUUUAUUUAAGAUAUUGAAUUGCAAUAACAAAGAUAUCAAAGUAAGUUCCUUUUUUGUAUAACCCUUCUGUUGUUUGUUUAGUAGGGUGAUUCAACGGUAUUGAAUUGCAUCUCAUACUCACUGACUCCUUCAUAAUUUAUUCAAUUGCUUACUUGUAUAGUUUUGUAUUUAUGGCGGUUUUGAAAGUCAUUAGGUUGGUAAAACACUUUACAAUGAAUUGGAAGUGGUUGAGGGAAUAAAGUUGGACAGAGGAAUCAGAUGAUCCUUUGAUUUUAAUACAUGAGAAAAAAAUCUCUAGCUUAAAUGCCAUUGUUUCCAUGGCAGGUGCGGGUUGUAUAACGGGGAUGUGCAACAUAUCUUCGACGGUUGUCGCGCGCCCAAAAGCGCUUGGUGGCAGUUUUGUAGAUGGAUGAAGAUCGAGCCUCCGAAAGAUGGGGACUCGCUUCAGAAGAGGCUGGACUUCUUCAAGCGCCAACCAGGAUUGAAGACAUGGAAGAAAGUGGUGUCUGUUCUUAUGCUAGCUACAUUUUCGAAGCUUUGGCUUUCUACAAAUGAGAAAUAUUUUAACAGCACGGAGGUGCCUUAUUUUAAAUUGGUGGAGUUGACUAAAAGAGAUGUUUCUUUGGGUUAGAAGUUGAUCAAAGUGUGCUGGGGCUCUUGAAUGGGAGAAGUGGGGGAGUUUGAUUUUGUAGAUUUAUUGUAAUUGUAUUUUGGUUUAA